CUGGGCCAGCUCUUCUUUCAACCGCCGGAUCUCAUCCUGCUGCCGGAAGAACAUUCGGAGGAGCUGGGGUGGAGGAAGAGAGGGGCCAGGGCGGCCGGGAGAGAGCAGUGGAAAAUGCCAAAUAUAUACUAGGGUGGAAAGAACCACACUAUGAGCCUCCAAGAACUCAUCAACUGGCUUCAA